UAAAUCGCUCAUCAAGCGAUUGAGCGUUGCUGGUAAUGGUGUAGUGUGAGUGGACUACAGGAUGUAGUCCGAAGCGCCAUGGAUGGCGCGUUUCGAACACGUAACCAUUACCAGCAACGCUCAGUCGCUUGAUGAGUGAUCCA
rfam:Gammaproteobacteria bacterium SCGC AG-212-F23 AG-212-F23.19, whole genome shotgun sequence.